GACGAACGCUGGCGGCGUGCUUAACACAUGCAAGUCGAACGGAAAGGCCCUGCUUUUGUGGGGUGCUCGAGUGGCGAACGGGUGAGUAACACGUGAGUAACCUGCCCUUGACUUUGGGAUAACUUCAGGAAACUGGGACUAAUACCGGAUAGGAGCUCCUGCUGCAUGGUGGGGGUUGGAAAGUUUCGGCGGUUGGGGAUGGACUCGCGGCUUAUCAGCUUGUUGGUGGGGUAGUGGCUUACCAAGGCUUUGACGGGUAGCCGGCCUGAGAGGGUGACCGGCCACAUUGGGACUGAGAUACAGCCCAGACUCCUACGGGAGGCAGCAGUGGGGAAUAUUGCACAAUGGGCGGAAGCCUGAUGCAGCAACGCCGCGUGCGGGAUGACGGCCUUCGGGUUGUAAACCGCUUUCGCCUGUGACGAAGCGUGAGUGACGGUAAUGGGUAAAGAAGCACCGGCUAACUACGUG
rnacentral:rRNA from 1 species